UGGGGAAUAUUGCACAAUGGGCGAAAGCCUGAUGCAGCAACGCCGCGUGAGUGAUGAAGGCCUUCGGGUUGUAAAGCUCUGUCUUCUGGGACGAUAAUGACGGUACCAGAGGAGGAAGCCACGGCUAACUACGUGCCAGCAGCCGCGGUAAUACGUAGGUGGCAAGCGUUGUCCGGAUUUACUGGGCGUAAAGGCUGCGUAGGCGGAUACUUAAGUCAGAUGUGAAAAUCCCGGGCUUAACUUGGGAACUGCAGUUGAAACUGGGUAUGUAGAGUGCGGGAGAGGAAAGUGGAAGUCCUAGUGUAGCUGUGAAAUGCGUAGAGAUUAGGAAGAACACCAGUGGCGAAGGCGACUUUCUGGACCUUAACUGACGCUGUGGCAUGAAAGCGUGGGG
rnacentral:rRNA from 1 species